rnacentral:rRNA from 1 species
UACGUAGGUGGCAAGCGUUGUUCGGAAUUAUUGGGCGUAAAGGGCGCGUAGGCGGUUUGCUAAGUCAGUUGUGAAAGCCCGGGGCUCAACCCCGGAGGGUCGGCUGAUACUGGUGGACUAGAGUACGGAAGAGGUAGCUGGAAUUCCUGGUGUAGCGGUGAAAUGCGUAGAUAUCGAGAGGAACACCUGCGGCGAAGGCGGGUUGCUGGGCUGACACUGACGCUGACAGCGCGAAAGCUAGGGGAGCGAACGGG